UACGUAGGGUCCGAGCGUUGUCCGGAAUUACUGGGCGUAAAGAGCUCGUAGGCGGUCUGUCGCGUCGAAUGUGAAAACCCGGGGCUCAACUCCGGGCUUGCAUUCGAUACGGGCAGGCUAGAGUUCGGUAGGGGAGUCUGGAAUUCCUGGUGUAGCGGUGAAAUGCGCAGAUAUCAGGAGGAACACCGGUGGCGAAGGCGGGACUCUGGGCCGAUACUGACGCUGAGGAGCGAAAGCGUGGGGAGCGAACAGG
rnacentral:rRNA from 1 species